AAUUCAGCCCUGCCACUGGCUUGUGUCAUCACCUUGGGCUAGUUACUCAGGCUGUUUGCAAAAUGGGCUAGUUGGACAGGAGCAGUGCCACUCAACUC
ensembl:miRNA MIR575 microRNA 575